AGAGAGAGAGAGAGAGAGAGAGAGAGAGAGAGAGAGAGAGAGAGAGAGAGAGAGAGACUAUGCACCAAUUCCCAUAUUCAUACACCCUCCAAUGCAUCGACUGUUUCAAUCUGUAAAAAUAAUGUUCGGAUAAUGUCCUUCUUAUACUUGGCGGAGUUUGGUGUAGUUGGUGAUAGGCGAAGUGUAAUUAAUGGACUGCGAAUUGUUCGAAACGGCUUCAAAACCAAACGAAGCUCAGCAAAGUGAAGCCGCCGUGAGAGCAAGGGAGUCAGUUGGACAGAGUAGGCGGCGCGGGUGGUUGUGGAGAAAACGAGAGGAUGAUCGGAGGGACGGAGAGAGGACGACACCAUUCACUGUAAAUGCUACUCUGGACUUGAGGACUAUGAACCAUGCCUAACUGUAACCAUACAUUAAGAACAACAACAAAAAAGUAGCAUGGAAGGUCUUGAUCAAGAAAGGCUGCAUGUUCACCCAGAGGAAGAUCCCUGCCACAGCCUUGUGAACCUUCACUCCACACCCCUGGAGGGACUCGCAGACCUUUUUGUACGCAGCAGCUAACCUCUCUUUGUUGUGAAUUUCAUCCACAAGAUAGGGGCCCUUCGACCUCAACACCCAUCGAGGGCAUCAACAAAGCCUGGAAUUUAAGUUUUUUUUGGGUGUGGUUCAUAUGAACUGUAUAAAAGUUAUGCUUUUUAUUACUAAAUCAUAGAAGGGAAGUCCACUCGGGGUGGAAAACUGUCUUUUAUAAAAAUGUGCUCUCAGUGAUCCUACAUCAAUAUUCUGUACUCACUCUACCAAAGGUCAUUAUAGUCUUCAACUUAACGUUAAAAACAGGUAAGGGUAUGUACUUUACAAGGAUACUUCAUUCAGUUACGUGAGUGAAGGUAUGAAAGGUUGAAGUGAGGUAUGUUUUUGCCUGAAUAUGCCUGCGCGGGAGGACAGGCACGGCAAAAUAAGCCCACGCCUUAAGGGUUAAAGGAUACAGAUAAAAUUGUCAAGUAAAAAAACAACAAGACAGGUAAGAGUGGCAGAAAAAAUGUACAUUGAAAUGUACAAUAACCAGGAUAGGCAUGAUAACAAUGAAGAGAAUAAAGCAAUAAACUUGGACUCAAAAGAACAAAGGACAAAAGUAGAGAAAGGAAAAAAGCAAGAAAACAAAUGGGUAAGGUUCAAGCAGAAGGAAUACAUGGUUGAACCAUGACCCUAACCAAAGUCGGUGGCAAUUUCAGUCUGCCACAGUGGGGGAAAAAAAAAGGUAAUCCUGAACUGUGAGAAUGGUGGAAAAAUUGAAAUACAAUAAUGAUUGUGACAAUGAAUGCAAUGCUGGUAAGUGAAAUGAAACA